rnacentral:lncRNA from 1 species
GCGAAUGGCCGCGUAGAUCAGCCCGGAGCUGCCGCGCCGCGCACCUGGACGCGCUCCCGUCCACAAUCACGCGCUCCAGCUCUUUAACCGGCGCCCCCGACCUCCUCUUCUUCUUUCUCUCGCCCAUACAUAAUUUGUCAAUAUUAGCCUGAAAAUUCACCAAGACAUAGAAUGGCCACCUUUCGAUACAGAUGAAUAUUCAUUUAUCUAAGUGAUGGAAAAUGGAGAAUGGCUAUCCCAUGCCUGCCAAAGUUGAGAGCUGAAACAAAGCAUGGGUACCGAUGGAUGAGCCGCAAGCUGAA